rnacentral:rRNA from 1 species
AUUGAACGCUGGCGGCGUGCUUAACACAUGCAAGUCGAGCGGUAACAGGCGUAGCAAUACGUGCUGACGAGCGGCGAACGGGUGCGUAAUACAUGGGAAUCUGCCUAGUAGUGGGGAAUAACCCGGCGAAAGCCGGGCUAAUGCCGCAUACGAUCCACGGAUGAAAGCGGGGGACCGUCGGCCGUCGCGCUAUUAGAUGAGCCCACUG